AGGAAAAGGAGGGGCAAUAAAACGGGCGAUUUUUCGCCGUCAGCAAUUUUUCCGCAUGUGCCCGUCGAAACGUAAGGCGUCCGUUUCGCCCCGUUUGAACUCGCGCGACUCUCCCUUGUCUUAUUGACUCUCGAGGUAUUGUCGGGGGGAGAUCCUCGUGCGAUUUCUCCGCUCGUCUCGAUCGCUCGCGUAUAAUUGUCAUCGUUUGAAGUGAUUCGGCGAACUCGAAACGGCGAACGAUUCGACGAAUGGACCACUUCCGGCUGCUCGACCGUUCGCCUGAUGCAAAAUGCCCGUAAUUAUGGAGUUCGCGAAUAGUCCACCGGCCGCACAUUGGAUUCUGCAACGUCUGAAGGAUAACGAGUUUUAAGGAAAGGUCAACCGGAGAAACUGCAUUAUAACUUUCACGCGACACUUUUGCUUGGGAGAACCGACAACUGUACUUCUGAACCCGGACCAUCGGGAGAUCGACACGUCGAAUCGCGAGGGAUGUAGCUACGGAAAUUGCCAUGAGGAUAAAAAAAAAAACACCGGUGAUUUCGUUUCAUUCCGUUCUCCAUGAAAACUUGAAGACUUAGAAGUUUUGUUUCAAG